GGAUCUGCUCAGAGGUAGAAGAGGGUGU
rnacentral:piRNA from 1 species